GCUGGAAUUGCUAGUAAUGGCAGGUCAGCAUACUGCCGUGAAUACGUUCCCGGGCCUUGUACACACCGCCCGUCACACCAUGAGAGUUGGAAAUACCCGAAGUCAGUAGCCUAACCGCAAGGGGGGCGCUGCCGAAGGUGGGGUUGAUGAUUGGGGUGAAGUCGUAACAAGGUACC
rnacentral:rRNA from 1 species